rnacentral:rRNA from 1 species
CCUACGGGUGGCAGCAGUGAGGAAUAUUGGUCAAUGGGCGGGAGCCUGAACCAGCCAAGUCGCGUGAGGGAAGACGGUCCUAUGGAUUGUAAACCUCUUUAGGCGGGGAGCAAUGCCGGGCACGCGUGCCCGGAGGGAGAGUACCCGCAGAAUCAGCAUCGGCUAACUCCGUGCCAGCAGCCGCGGUAAUACGGAGGAUGUGAGCGUUAUCCGGAUUUAUUGGGUUAAAAGGGUGCGUAGGCGGAUUUUUAAGUCAGCGGUAAAAUGUCCGGGCUCAACCCGGGCCGGCCGUUGAAACUGGUGAUCUUGAGUGGGCGAGAAGUAUGCGGAAUGCGUGGUGUAGCGGUAAAAUGCAUAGAGAUCACGAAGAACUCCGAUUGCGAAGGCAGCAUACCGGCGCCCAACUGACGCUGAAGCACGAAAGCGUGGGUAUCGAACAGGAUUAGAGACCCCUGUAGUC